UACGGAGGGUGCGAGCGUUGUCCGGAAUCACUGGGCGUAAAGCGCGCGCAGGCGGUUCUUUAAGUCAGGGGUGAAAGCCCAGAGCUCAACUCUGGAAUUGCCUUUGAAACUAGAGGACUUGAGUACGGGAGAGGUGAGUGGAACUGCGAGUGUAGAGGUGAAAUUCGUAGAUAUUCGCAAGAACACCAGUGGCGAAGGCGGCUCACUGGCCCGGUACUGACGCUGAGGUGCGAAAGCGUGGGGAGCAAACAGG
rnacentral:rRNA from 1 species